UACGGAGGGUGCAAGCGUUAUCCGGAUUCACUGGGUUUAAAGGGUGCGUAGGUGGCUUUGUAAGUCAGUGGUGAAAGCCCGGAGCUCAACUCCGGAACUGCCAUUGAUACUGCUUAGCUUGAAUCACGUCGAGGUGGAUGGAAUAAUACAUGUAGCGGUGAAAAUGCUUAGAUAUGUAUUAGAACACCGAUUGCGAAGGCAGUUCACUAGGCGUGUAUUGACACUGAGGCACGAAAAGCGUGGGGGAUCAAAACAGG
rnacentral:rRNA from 1 species